rnacentral:rRNA from 1 species
GAUGAACGCUGGCGGCGUGCUUAACACAUGCCAGUCGAACGGAAAGGCUCCUGCUUGCAGGGGUACUCGAGUGGCGAACGGGUGAGUAACACGUGGGUGAUCUGCCCUGCACUUCGGGAUAAGCCUGGGAAACUGGGUCUAAUACCGGAUAGGACCACAUUUUGGAUGGUGUGGUGGAAAGUUUUUCGGUGUGGGAUGAGCUCGCGGCCUAUCAGCUUGUUGGUGGGGUAAUGGCCUACCAAGGCGUCGACGGGUAGCCGGCCUGAGAGGGUGUACGGCCACAUUGGGACUGAGAUACGGCCCAGACUCCUACGGGAGGCAGCAGUGGGGAAUAUUGCACAAUGGGCGCAAGCCUGAUGCAGCGACGCCGCGUGGGGGAUGACGGCCUUCGGGUUGUAAACUCCUUUCGCUAGGGACGAAGCGUUUUUGUGACGGUACCUGGAGAAGAAGCACCGGCUAACUACGUG